rnacentral:hammerhead_ribozyme from 1 species
GUACCGCUGAAGAGUCGCAAGUUGAGACGAAACAGCUGUCCAGUAC